rnacentral:rRNA from 1 species
UACGAAGGUCCCGAGCGUUGUUCGGAAUCACUGGGCGUAAAGGGAGCGUAGGCGGCGUGGUAAGUCAGAUGUGAAAUCCCGGGGCUCAACCCCGGAACUGCAUCCGAUACUGCCGUGCUAGAGGAUUGGAGAGGUAGCUGGAAUUCUUGGUGUAGCAGUGAAAUGCGUGGAGAUCAAGAGGAACACUCGUGGCGAAAGCGAGCUACUGGACAAUAUCUGACGCUGAGGCUCGAAGGCCAGGGUAGCGAAA